rnacentral:rRNA from 1 species
GAUGAACGCUAGCGGGAGGCUUAACACAUGCAAGUCGAGGGGCAGCAUAGGGUAGCAAUACUCUGAUGGCGACCGGCAAACGGGUGAGUAACGCGUAUGUAACCUACCCUGUACAGGGGGAUAACCCGGAGAAAUUCGGACUAAUAUCCCAUAACAAUAUCCGGGGGCAUCUUUGGAUAUUUAAAGUUCCGGCGGUACGGGAUGGGCAUGCGUAACAUUAGCUAGUUGGUAAGGUAACGGCUUACCAAGGCUUUGAUGUUUAGGGGUCCUGAGAGGGUGGUCCCCCACACUGGUACUGAGACACGGACCAGACUCCUACGGGAGGCAGCAGUGAGGAAUAUUGGUCAAUGGGCGCAAGCCUGAACCAGCCCAUCCCGCGUGCAGGAAGACGGCGCUAUGCGUUGUAAACUGCUUUUGUACGGGAGAAAAACGCCACGUGUGGUGUCUUGCCGGUACCGUACGAAUAAGGAUCGGCUAACUCCGUG